rnacentral:rRNA from 2 species
UGGCGGACGGGUGAGUAAUGUCUGGGAAACUGCCUGAUGGAGGGGGAUAACUACUGGAAACGGUAGCUAAUACCGCAUAACGUCGCAAGACCAAAGAGGGGACCUUCGGGCCUCUUGCCAUCGGAUGUGCCCAGAUGGGAUUAGCUAGUAGGUGGGGUAACGGCUCACCUAGGCGACGAUCCCUAGCUGGUCUGAGAGGAUGACCAGCCACACUGGAACUGAGACACGGUCCAG